GGUUAACAGAAGAAGGGGAAGGUCUGCAGCGGGGCGGUUGUGCAAACAGCUCCUUGUGGGAACGCGAUUCCUCCGCCACCGCAGCAAUAAAUAUUUCGAGUUGCCUAAUUAUAUUUUACUAGAAAACGGGUUAAUUAAGAAAUGGGCUAGCCUGAGUGAGCUUCCUGGUAGCGCUGCAACACUCUGUGCUGGGAUGACUCAAUGAACACAAGGGUUUGCCUGCAGCAAACCGUGCGGGGAUGGCUCUCAGUGACUUAACCCGCAGGAGCUAAGACCUUGAACUCCAGUGUCUUUAAAUAAAUGCAUUUUUCAGUGAACUUUUAUUGUAAAUGAUCUGCAAGGUUUGUAAAACUCAACCACUUUUUGUUUUGAGCCUGUCCACCACCACGCUGAGUGGUUUGAUUAAUCUCCUGUGCGAGCUUUAAUUAGUUCCAGAUGCUUCAAAGGGGCUCGUUUAAAAAUCAGCUUGCCUGAUGGGCACCUGUAAGCUUGCUGGGACAGGCUGGAAACAGGGAGCUGGAGCAAUUCAGGCUCCUUUCAGAGGAAAGCAGCUGACACUGGAUGUCACCAUUGUACAAGAGAAGCAGAACCGAGGUGGCUGGGACCUUCCUCUCGGUCAGAGGAACGCACGCAUCGUGACCACCACCCUGCUGCUCACUGAAGAAGUGAUGCGGGAAGACCGGGGCUCGGAGGGGAGCUACGUCCUGUACGGCUCCUCCUGCGCCGAGCUCACCGAAGAAGCUGAGUAUGUGAAAAAGCAGCACCCUCCGGUGCCGGGCAGGAGCGCAGAGCCCAGGAGCAGCGGCUGGAGCUCGAGCUGCAGCCCCGUGGCGGCGAAGAUGAGGGAAACGGAGCAGCAGCUGCUGCUGGUCAGCAGGGAGAACCAGCUGCUGCGGAUCAAGCUGGAAGCCACGAGAGAAGCGGGCGUGCAGGCUCUCCGGGCUGCCUCCCAAAAACUCUACGAGAGCUACCAGGCUCGCUCCGAAGAACUUCACAAAACUCAGGAGAAGGAGAAGCAGCAAAUACAGGCCCGCAGUCGGGAGCAGGAGGGAAAGCUGCAGCAGCAGGAGGAGAAGGCCACGCAGCUCGCCGGCGCCGUGGAGGAGAGGUGCGCCCGCAUCGCGGCCAUGGAGCAGCGCGUGCGCAGGAUGGAGGAGGAGAAGAAAACUCUGAUGGAAAAGAAAACGUCCUAUGAAAAGAUGCUUCUGCAGAUGAUGUCGAGGAACGAAGACAGCAAACGGUGCCUGGCGGUGCAGCAGGACAUCGCCACGCUGCGGGAGCAGAUCGGCCACCUGCAGCGCCUGAUCGGGGCGCAGCACCAGAGCCUGCGCCGCGUCAUCCAGGAGGCGGAGGAAUUGAAUGAAGAACUCAAAAUCCAGGACAAGAAAAUAGAAGACCUGACUGAAAAGGUGACGGCGCUUGAGACUCAGAAUAAAGAACUGAAAGACAAAGUGGCGCUCUGGUCCAGCCAGCCCAAGACAAAAGUUUCAAAAGCCGUCCUGACAGACCCCCUGCGGGACUACAGAGCAUCCCCUUACCUGCUGCUGACCAGGAUGAAGAAGCAGGACUGCUAAAUGAACUUGAUGAAACGAGGGCGUGCUUCUCCUGCCUUUGGCAGAAGGACUUCUUGUGUUGCAACACGUCUUCGACACUUGCUUUUUCUGAGACGGGGUGCAGAAGAGGUGCUGCGGAGCUGCUUUUGGGAGAAUAAACCUGGAAACAAGGCACGAGGUGAAGAGAGAGCCCAGGGGCAUCAGUUCCAUACCCACCAGGAGGAGGAGCUGUUCCAGUAAGCCAUAUGGGGCCGUCCCCGUGGGAUUCAGCACCGUCCUCAGACAAGGAUUUGAGCAGAUUCCUCUCAGUGUUCAACCAGCUUCUGUCCUUCCCGAACUCUUUCCACGGUGAGUUUUGUGCUCCAGUCGGUGCGAGGACGAAGCUCCACGUUUAGCCUCUCCUUCCCUUCACCUGAAAUCCUGUUUGCAUGGGAUUGGACUUAUUUCCUGGAUGGUUUCUGGCAUUUACGUCCUCAUUUUGAUGCAAAAUCUUGAAAGGGUGAUGAACAGCUCCUGCUGCCUGCGCUGCUGCUUACCUCUGACUGUCCCGGUGCAGGUAACAUCUCAUCCGUCCAGCCCCGUGCCCAGGACAGGCUGGUCCCUCUGCUGUCACACCAAAGUGUUCUGGGCACCGUUUGUCCCUCAUUUUGAGAUGUCACCUCGUGGUUUGAAUCGUAUCCCCCACGAGAGUGACACUAUUUGCACGUGCACCUUCACCUCUGAAGGGAAAGGAAAGCCAAAGCCUUGUAUAAAGUCUGUCUUCUCACCUGUGUCACAGAUGACAGUAUUUUGGGAAAAAUUGAUCCUUAAAUAAGACUUGAAUGUACCAAAUUUGUCUGUUCCUUUUCUUAGCUCGCUUCAGAAGGUGGGUUUAUCCUUUCAGGAGCAACUGAGCUCAACUGCAGGUCAGGAUUAAAAAAAAACACAACCCUUUUCCCCCCCCAAAGAGCUGAGCCAGCCACUUAAAAAUGUACUUUUAUUGUGAAAAUAACAGUGCAGAAACCGGAUCACGGGCGUACAUUCCUCAGCUGUGUUACACAGACCCACGCACCGGGGGCUCAUCCGCCAGCACGGGUUGAAGCCCCAGGUGCUUUGGUACAAAAAAAAAGUGACAAGAAAUUUGUUAAGCAAGCGCCGUGGUCCCAGCGAGGGGCAUCUAUGCUAAAAACACCGUUUGUGUUCGAGCUAUAGUGUCAACCACACUGAUGUCACUAGGCGUCACAGGGAUCUGCUGGAGACGAACGUAAAACAUGCUUACCAGAGCACAAGAGAAGAAAACACCUGGGGAGGAACUGCUACAGGCUCCGUAGUGUUCGUAUCUGGACGAGGAAAGGUGCCUCGACGAAGCCAAAGAACAAUUCAACGUCCAGAAGUAGGCUUCCACCACCGGGAUGACUCAGAUGUGGCCGUUCUGUGCUGCGGUUCCCAUUGUCUCCAGGACAUUACGUACAACCUGGGAACUUUGAACGCUGCUCUCACUUUCAGUUUGAGCUGCUCCCAGCCCCAAGGAGUGGCUCUGAGGCAUCCCUGCAGGGCUGCAGCUGCUCAGCAGGGGAAAAAAAGGGAGCAAGAGUCAAAUGGAAACGGAGAGGUAACAGGUAACAGACUUACUUAAAACCCUGUCUUAUUUUUUUGCAAGGAGGAUUAACCUAAUAAGCAACAAAGCUGUUGGCAGGCGUUUAGGAACAUUUAUUAUGUUCCUCUUUCCUGAGAGCUUCCCUAUAAAACCUACCUGCAGCACCUACCAGGAGGAGAAACUUCCAUUUCUCUCCCUUUUCCUGUACAGUUUUGAUAACAAAAUCCUUUUGGAAUAAUAGUUGGCUUCCUUUUUUAAAAAAAAACAACACAUAAUAAUUAGCUUCCUGUAUUAGCAAGGAACAAAACUUUUGCUGGAGUCAUUUCCCUUUUAUUCCUAUGUGGAUCCCUUGAGGGGAUCCCUGAAUGAUUUUUAAGUAGCUGAAAGCACAAUAACCACAAAUAGACCUUUAACUGCCGGCUGUAUAAAACCCAAACCCCUAUCCUAUAAAAAAAAAGGACGGGAGAAACUCCAUGCUGUAACCUGGUUUAGAAAACUGAUCUCUUUACUUACAAAUAUAGUAUUUUGCUUUGC